CGGUUGCCUAACCGCAAGGAGGGCGCCACCACGGUGAGNUUCAUGACUGGGGUG
rnacentral:rRNA from 1 species